UACGUGAGGGGCAAGCGUUGUCCGGAAUCAUUGGGCGUAAAGCGCGCGUAGGCGGCCCGGUAAGUCCGCUGUGAAAGUCAAAGGCUCAACCUUUGAAACUGGUCAGCGGCAUAACUGCCGGGCUAGAGUCCGGAAGAGGCGAGUGGAACUCCUGGUUGUAGCGGUGGAAUGACGCAGAUAUCGAGGAGAACACCGGUGGCGAAGGCGGGUCGUCUGGGCCGAUACUGACGCUGAGGAGCGAAAGCGUGGGGAGCGAACAGG
rnacentral:rRNA from 1 species